CGUCACUUCUGUGCCUCAGUUACUUCUGUGGGCCUCAGUUGCCUCAUCUGUCAAAUGGGGAUGAAGACUGUGAGCCCCAUGAGGGACAGGGAUUGUGCCCGACCUGAUUUGCUCACGUCCACCCCGAUGCUUAGUGUGAAGUAAGUGUUUAACGAACACCGCAGUUAGUAUUGUUAAGUGGCAGUGGUGGGAGGGGAACCCACGUCUUCUGCCUCUUUAUAUUAGGUCACGCCGCUUCCCCGAAGAUUGGAAUCCACGGCAGGGCAAGUAGCCCUCCCGGGGCCCCGGCACCGUUUAAUCCCGCCAACGAUUUGGGUGGUAGCAGGCACGGAGCACCGAGAUAUAAGAGAAUGAGAAGGAAAAGACUAUAAACUCGUCGCGGGCAGGGAACGUGUCUGUUUAUUGUUAUAUUGUACUCUUCCCAGCGUGUAGGACAGUGCUCUGUGCACAAAAAGCGCCCAAUAAAUACGACUGAAUGAAUGAAUGAGUGAUAUCCUGAAUCUCAAAGUGAGCCCUCAUCUCUCUGUUUCAGUUUUAGAUGCUCAUCGAGACUUAUCCUUUCCUGGAUUGGUGAACUAGUUGCCGAGGAAUCCGUCGUUCCCGGGCCAGAGCUCUGAAAGUCGCUACUGAGGCAGCCCAGGCACAGACUCUCUCUCCUCCACUCUGCCUUCCUUCCCCGAAACGUCACGUUCGGUCUGUUGCCGGCGAUCCUGGCUACGGCAGUCCGGACGGCGAAAAUGGAGGUAGGCCGAACGGGCGGAAAAAAACGUAUCCCGGCGAAAUGAAGGGAUUUCCGACGAUCUGGCCGCACACGACUCAGUCGUCAGUGAGAAAUCGACGAGGUGAAAAUGGUCCGCUGGGGAAAUUAAUGGAGAGAAAAUAGGCGAGUCCCCCCCCAGAAUGUAUUACCUCCGGAAUAAAUUUCUCACCCCAACGCGCGUUGCAUUUUGCAACCACCCGACCUCUCUCAACCCUUCAGCCGCCUGUCUGAUCACAGACUCCCACAGAAGAACGCACCCACUUCUCUAGGUCUCCCACAGUGAGUUUGCCUGCCGUAGCCUUAUCGAUUAAUCGGUGGUAAAUGUAUGAGCACUUAUUUCCUCCGCAAUCCGCCAUUCCAGCGGAAGGGCGAGGACCGCACCUCACUUUACCCCAGACCCCCCACGUGAAUACUAGAUUACUUGGUCGUUAC
rnacentral:lncRNA from 1 species